GAACUGAAGAGUUUGAUCAUGGCUCAGAUUGAACGCUGGCGGCAGGCCUAACACAUGCAAGUCGAGCGGAUGAAGGGAGCUUGCUCUCUGAUUCAGCGGCGGACGGGUGAGUAAUGCCUAGGAAUCUGCCUGGUAGUGGGGGACAACGUUUCGAAAGGAACGCUAAUACCGCAUACGUCCUACGGGAGAAAGUGGGGGAUCUUCGGACCUCACG
rnacentral:rRNA from 1 species